rnacentral:rRNA from 1 species
AUUGAACGCUGGCGGCAGGCCUAACACAUGCAAGUCGAGCGCGCGGCGGACGGGUGAGUAAUGUCUGGGAAACUGCCUGAUGGAGGGGGAUCACUACUGGAAACGGUAGCUAAUACCGCAUACCAUCAGAUGUGCCCAGAUGGGAUUAGCUAGUAGGUGGGGUAACGGCUCACCUAGGCGACGAUCCCUAGCUGGGCUGAGAGGAUGACCAGCCAGACUGGAACUGGUAAACGGUCCAGAGUACUACGGGAGGCAGCAGGGGGGAAUAUUGCACAAUGGGCGCAAGCCGGAGGCAGCCAUGCCGCGUGUAUGAAGAAGGCCUUCGGGUUGUAAAGUACUUUCAGCGGGGAGGCGUUACCCGCAGAAUAAGCACCGGCUAACUCCGUGCCAGCAGCCGCGGUAAUAC